UCUCGCGUCAGGAUAUGCCUAGGUGGGAUUAGCUAGUUGGUGAGGUAAUGGCUCACCAAGGCGACGAUCCCUAGCUGGUCUGAGAGGAUGAUCAGCCACACUGGAACUGAGACACGGUCCAGACUCCUACGGGAGGCAGCAGUGGGGAAUAUUGCACAAUGGGCGCAAGCCUGAUGCAGCCAUGCCGCGUGUGUGAAGAAGGCCUUCGGGUUGUAAAGCACUUUCAGUCGUGAGGAAGGUGGUGUAGUUAAUAGCUGCAUUAUUUGACGUUAGCGACAGAAGAAGCACCGGCUAACUCCGUGCCAGCAGCCGCGGUAAUACGGAGGGUGCGAGCGUUAAUCGGAAUUACUGGGCGUAAAGCGCAUGCAGGUGGUUUGUUAAGUCAGAUGUGAAAGCCCGGGGCUCAACCUCGGAAUAGCAUUUGAAACUGGCAGACUAGAGUACUGUAGAGGGGGGUAGAAUUUCA
rnacentral:rRNA from 1 species